rnacentral:rRNA from 1 species
GACGAACGCUGGCGGCGUGCUUAACACAUGCAAGUCGAACGGAAAGGCCUGCUUUCCCUUGUGGAUUGCGGGUACUCGAGUGGCGAACGGGUGAGUAACACGUGAGUGAUCUGCCCCCAACUUGGGUAUAAGCCUGGGAAACUGGGUCUAAUUCCCGAUAGGACUGCAGGGUGGUGCCUGUGGUGGAAAACGAUUUUCUAGUGGUUGGGGAUGAGCUCGCGGCCUAUCAGCUUGUUGGUGGGGUAAUGGCCUACCAAGGCGGCGACGGGUAGCCGGCCUGAGAGGGUGGACGGCCACAUUGGGACUGAGAUACGGCCCAGACUCCUACGGGAGGCAGCAGUGGGGAAUAUUGCACAAUGGGCGGAAGCCUGAUGCAGCGACGCCGCGUGGGGGAUGACGGCCCUCGGGUUGUAAACUCCUUUCGACCGCGAGGAAGCCACCUGGUUGGAAGGGUGGUGACGGUAGUGGUAGAAGAAGCACCGGCUAACUACGUG